CCUACGGGGGGCAGCAGUGGGGGAUAUUGCACAAUGGGGGGAACCCUGAUGCAGCGACGCCGCGUGGGUGAAGGAGCGUUUCGGCGCGUAAAGCCCUAUCGGCAGGGAAGAAGGAGGACGGUACCUGACUAAGAAGCCCCGGCUAACUACGUGCCAGCAGCCGCGGUAAUACGGAGGGGGCAAGCGUUAUCCGGAUUUACUGGGGGUAAAGGGGGCGCAGACGGCAGCGCAAGCCAGGAGUGAAAGCCCGGGGCCCAACCCCGGGACUGCGCUUGGAACUGCGCGGCGGGAGUGCAGGAGGGGCAGGCGGAAGUCGUGGGGUAGGGGGGAAAUGCGUAGAUAUGAGGAGGAACGCCGGUGGCGAAGGCGGCCUGCUGGACUGCGAGUGACGUUGAGGCCCGAAAGCGUGGGGAGCAAACAGGAUUAGAUACCCGUGUAGUC
rnacentral:rRNA from 1 species